rnacentral:lncRNA from 1 species
GAAACAUACCAGCAUUUAUACUUGCAAAAUUAAUUUUAAAACUAAACACCAAGCAAGACAAACAUUGUGUUUGAUAUAAAUUUUAAGCAACAUAAAAUGACCCUAGACUUCUCAGCCCCACCUAGACUCCAGUUAUCUCACUACAGAAUUGCUUUCUAAGAUCAAAAGGAAGCAGGAAGAAAUAAUCAUUGCUCAGAAACUAAAUGUCAAGACAUGCUUCCUUAA